UCAUCAUGCCCUUAUGACCUGGGCUACACACGUGCUACAAUGGGCGGUACAAAGGGCUGCGAACCCGCAGGGGUGCGAAUCCCAAAAAGCCGCUACUCAGUUCGGAUUGCAGGCUGCAACUACGCCUGCAUGAAGCCGGAAUCGCUAGUAAUCGCGGAUCAGCAUGCCGCGGUGAAUACGUUCCCGGGCCUU
rnacentral:rRNA from 1 species